rnacentral:rRNA from 1 species
UUACAAAGUUAGGAGAUGAGCUGUGGUUAGGGGUGAAAUGCCAAUCGAACUCGGAGAUAGCUGGUUCUCCCCGAAAUAGCUUUAGGGCUAGCCUCAAGAACUAAGUACAGACGGUAGAGCUCUGAUUGGGCUAGGGGCCUUAUAGGUUACCGAACUCUGUCAAACUGCGAAUGGCUGUACUCGAAUCUUGGGAGUCAGACUGCGAGUGAUAAGACCCGUAGUCAAGAGGGAAACAGCCCAGACCAUCAGCUAAGGUCCCUAAUGUCGUGCUAAGUGGUAAAGGAUGUGAAACUUCAGAAACAACCAGGAUGUUGGCUUAGAAGCAGCCACCAUUUAAAGAGUGCGUAAUAGCUCACUGGUCGAGAGGUUUUGCGCCGAAGAUUUCCGGGGCUCAAGCACGAAACCGAAGCUAUGGAUUUAUGCCUUUGGCAUAAGUGGUAGGGGAGCGUUCUAUACGCUUUGAAGCAGUACCGUAAGGAGCUGUGGAGUAUAUAGAAGUGAGAAUGCCGGUAUGAGUAGCGAAAAGACAAGUGAGAAUCUUGUCCACCGAAAGCCUAAGGUUUCCUGAGCAACGCUCGUCGUCUCAGGGUAAGUCGGGGCCUAAGCCGAGGCGUAAAUGCGUAGGCGAUGGACAACUGGCAAACAUUCCAGUACCACCCUUUAUCGUUUGAGUGAUGGAGUGACACAGUAGGGUAGAUCAGCGCGAGAUUGGUUGUUCGCGUCUAAGCUUGUAGGGUGUUUAGUAGGAAAAUCCGCUAAACGAAUAACCUGAGGAGUGACGGGGAGUUGUUAGCGAUAACGAUGAACUGAUUGAUCCCACACUGUCAAGAAAAGCUUCUAGCGAGACAAAUGCUGCCCGUACCGCAAACCGACACAGGUAGGCGGGGAGAGAAUCCUAAGGUGCGCGGGAAAACCCUCGUUAAGGAACUCGGCAAAAUGUCCCCGUAACUUCGGGAGAAGGGGAGCCCCUUAAGGUGAUGAUCUUUACGGUCUGAGCUAUGUAGGGGGCCGCAGAAAAGAGGCCCAAGCGACUGUUUACCACAAACACAGAUGCCUGCUAAAGCGAAAGCUGACGUAUAGGUGUUGACACCUGCCCGGUGCUGGAAGGUUAAGAGGAGUGCUUAGUCGCAAGACGAAGGUGUGAAUUGAAGCCCCAGUAAACGGCGGCCGUAACUAUAACGGUCCUAAGGUAGCGAAAUUCCUUGUCGGGUAAGUUCCGACCCGC